rnacentral:rRNA from 1 species
CCUACGGGCGGCAGCAGUGGGGAAUAUUGGACAAUGGGGGGAACCCUGAUCCAGCCAUGCCGCGUGUGUGAAGAAGGCCCUCGGGUUGUAAAGCACUUUCAGUGAGGAAGAACGCCUGGUGGUUAAUACCCAUCAGGAAAGACAUCACUCACAGAAGAAGCACCGGCUAACUCCGUGCCAGCAGCCGCGGUAAUACGGAGGGUGUGAGCGUUAAUCGGAAUUACUGGGCGUAAAGCGCGCGUAGGUGGCUUGAUAAGCCGGUUGUGAAAGCCCCGGGCUCAACCUGGGAACGGCAUCCGGAACUGUCAAGCUAGAGUGCAGGAGAGGAAGGUAGAAUUCCCGGUGUAGCGGUGAAAUGCGUAGAGAUCGGGAGGAAUACCAGUGGCGAAGGCGGCCUUCUGGACUGACACUGACACUGAGGUGCGAAAGCGUGGGUAGCAAACAGGAUUAGAUACCCCGGUAGUC